CUUGGAUACCUCAGCUGCAGUGCCAAUGUGCUGCAGUGGAGCAAAAUGGAGAACUUGUUUUAGCUCAAACAGUUGUCUCAACUCUGUCAGUAGUUAUCAGGUUCAUGAAGCACAAAUCAGCAAAAAGCUGAUUCCAUGUAAUGAAAAACAAUCACGUCUUCACCAUGUUUUUGACUAGACAUUUAAACAUGCCCAGCGCUGAUAACCCAGCUUUUGUCCUCAAGAUCAUGGCAUACAAUAUAAGUUUUUACAUACCCUCUAGUAAUGCAGAGCCUUACUGGUGGCUGUUAUUGCCUCAGUUAAUAGCAGUGCUGAGAGACAGCUGGUUUUGCAAUUAAAAUAGUUAAGCAUAACAAACUAACAUAAAAGAAAAACAACGCAGGAUAUUAAUCUUAAGGAUCAAAGCAUGACAAAGGUCAGAUUAGCAGCUGGAGUUCGAUUGUGGAAGAGUGGGUGGAACACCACCUUGGGCAAAUGCCAGAAGGGACAGGACUGAAAGCAGUCACACUGCGUGCAAGGAGCACAAAAGAACAGGAGUGUGUGCACAACUCGUCCCAAGGUGUAACACAAGACAGCCUUCUAGACAAGCAGAAAACGGGUUGCUUGUUGACUGCAUUCCUUACCUGAUUGCAUGUAUGGUAUAUACAUGGAUAUUGUAAUGAAGGAAUGUAGAAGCAUCACAGAACUCUCACAUCAAACCGUCCUUCCUGCGCUGGAUGAGGCAAUUGGUGCCCCGUGUGAGGAGUUCAGUCUUUGACUUCAGGGUGACAAACAGUCAGCUCGACGGAGGGUGAUGCUCAAAAUAGAAAGCAAACAAAUGUCACUGCUGAUACACACAGCCCCCAAGGCAGCAAUGAGAUGCACAGGCACUGCCUGGCCCCCGUGCUUCAUCAAGACUCUGAUUUCUCGUCCAUCACCCCCAACAUUUUCAGCAAGGAAAAAAUGGCUCUUCCAGCUUUUUUUGAAGAUCAGAUUAUGGAAGAUAAUCAAACACCUUCCCACUUGCAUGCUGAUCCACUUGGUGAAUAACAUCAAUACCGGUAUUCUCACUCACAAAACCGUGCAAAUCUUCCUCCUGCCCCUGCAAUGAAGAAAAAGGAAGAGGAGUUAGCUGGUAAGAUUAACCAGAAUGGUUAGCUACUUGAGAAAUACGACUUCAACAAAGCAAAUGAUUUCUAUCUAUCUUCCUGAAGGAAGGUGAUUAUCAUACCACAUUCACAUAUUUCAGUGUCAGAUACCAGACAGACCAACUUGUGCUUCAGAAAUCCCAACAGCCAUUCCUUAAAAGCUGUUUCUGCUAUUUCUGCAGUCUCAGCACCAGCCCCAGUGGGGCUCAGGGCACAGGAACUACCAAGCCUGGCCUCGCAGCUUCUGGAGACCAGCUUCACUAAUGAACAUCUGCUGCAUCUCUCAGGCAGGAGCCUUCUUUUAUUUCUGCAGAAGCUCAGUCGUGGCAUUAUCUACGUAAUCCACGCCUGAACCAGCAUAUCUAAUACAACACCUUGAAAGCAGGUAUUAAAGCCGGCUCCGUUGCCUUUGUAGCAGAGCAUUCUCUAAAUCCACUUUGGAUAAUUCAUUGGUUCUGCUAACUCCUCUGCUCUGCACAACCUACCAAGGGAUAACAAUAAACACAGCUCUUGCCUUUGCAUUUGAGUAAACAGAAACCAGCAAAAGAACAGCCAAUUAUCAAUGACGUUUCCUAAGUUUGCAAACACAUUUACUGUGCAGCAUUUAAAUAUUUUUUCUUGAGGUACAGUGGGUGGAAUAGAGAAACAAAACACCAGUUUUCAUCAAAAGUGUGGGGGGGAAAAUUUCCCCCCACUUCCACGUAGAACAGCACACUGGAAAGUCAGCCUUCAGUAUUGUGAAGAAACCCUCUCAGAUGUGCCCAGACAACUCCUUGUGACUUGGAUCAUAAUAUUCUCAAUAAGCAGAUCCACGAUGCUACAACAAGUGACCGUGGUACACAGCAAAGGCUGUAUGAAGUACAGUGCUCCUCUCCGGAAAGUACUGAGCAGUAAAUUCUGGGUCUCUCAUUGCAUAUUCAGCAGUGACAAGUGAUAAAAUUCUCUCUGAUGUGAAAAAUUUAGGUCUCUCCUCCUUUAUAAGAGUUACUAGCAUGGAAGUGUAAGACUUCCAUGGAUUACACCUUUAUCGACUAACAAACCAUAUACUCUUCCUCCUACUCCAAACCUGCACAAGCAAGAGCUAUUUGAAUGCACUGCUGGGCAAACAGCAUUUUAUAAGAAAACCCUGUCACAAACAAAUGAGAAGAAAAAUCUACUGUCAAAAACAUCAUCAUACUUCUUCAUCACUGUGCCGUGACAUGACUAGCAUUUGUCAAGGAAACCGCAAGUGCUCCGAGUAACUGUGAUGGACCACUCACUCAUUCCAUCAAGCUGACACUGCCAGUAAGCUGUUCUAGAAAUGAGCUGUUUUUGGAUCAAACUGACUAUUACCCCUAUUGUUCUUACACAGAUGAAGUCUCCUGUACUUCUGUACUGAGGAAUGAUCAUGGUUUAAAUUCAAAGGAGUUGCAGGCUGUGGUAUCAAGGAAUGAGAUAUAUACCUUUUUGUUUUUUUACUUCAAGAUGACUGGUAUGAACUAACCUAGGUGAGAACUACUAAAAAAAGUACUCACCUGUAUAGCAGUUGUUGGGAAAAGUGUAGGAAUUGAUGGUCCCAAAUCAAUUCUCAGUGAAAGAAGUUUUCUGCAUAGUAUCCAUUACCAAAGCAACUGUAAUACUGAACCACUUUGGGCACAUUUCCACAGAAAUACUAAGGGCCGGAUUGGCCACACAACUGUACUGCCUACUCUCUGCAGCACUUCCCUCAACGUGGCUGUAAGGAGUACUGUUGGGAUUUUGGGAAGCAGAGCACUACAUUUCAGUUUAGUUAUUCACACUAUGUUUUGUGGAUAAACAGAAAAUUUAAGUCCCUAGAGAUCAAUCCAGCACUUUUCCAAAGGGCUUUAUGCAAAAUGCAUACCCUCAACUUUGCUAUGAAAAGCACACUUGAAGAGCUGUGAAUUUCCACACCAAGAUGCCUUUACUUCAAGUAAUAACAGCACUUCAUUUUGGACUAUAGCUCCCCGAAAGGUGAAAAGCCUCUUAGCUUUCUCACCAAUAGAUAACUGAGGCUGAAAGAUUAGGAGACUGCUACAAAUCAGCAAGAAAAGAUGCCACGAAAUCAUUGCUGAAAUAAACAGCAUAUUUAAUUUUUGAGGUGUAAAAAUUAAGGUCUUUAAAGAAAUUGGAAACCGAGAGAAUAAAAUGAUUAAUCAGGGAGCUUAGCUGGAGAGCAUGCUAUUUGUUUUCAUAAACGGCUGUCUUCUGAAUCAACAUUUCUGGAGCGUAGCUCUUGCUGGGACACGACUGAGUGAAUCAGCUCCAAGCUGCCCCCCCCACCGAGGAUGCAUUGUGGCAGCAUCAACAGAUCCCUCUCCCUUGUGGUGCUGCAGUGAAUUCUGAAUCCACAGCUCUUUAUUCUGGGGCAGUCUGCCAGCGCCAAACAAAGAUAACUGUCUGAGCAUUUUGGUGAAGGUAUGUGACUUAAUUAACCAGGAUAAUGAAAGAUAGAACGGACAUGCCUUUGCCAAGGUAGUGAGUGGAGAUGAGUCAUGGAAGUGAAAUAUGUGAGCCUCUACAUGGUUUCAUAGACAGAAAUAUUUAGACAUAAUAUGUGGACCUAUUUUUCCGAGUAUGUGAAAAUAAUUCCAUAACAUAAAGGGUAUUUCUCAACACUAGCCCUUUGAGAAGAUCAUCUCACCACGUACCUCCACAGGAAGAGCGGCUAUGAUCCAGAUGUCAAGUGGAUCUGGAGCUGGUGGGGCUGAGUGUUCCCACGAUGACGGCAAAGCUGGCAUCAGGAAUGAGCCCAGGGUGCUCCCUGCCAUGGGACUGCAGCCAGACACGCAUCCUCUCCAGAACACCUCAAUGCCAUCCUGGCUCAUGCGUCUGGCACGUGGAUGGAGGAGAUGGAGAUGUAUGGGGAUGCUGUAUUGGGGAUGCGAGUGGUAGAAAUGAGGAAGGUGGAAAGAGAGAGGUAGAAGGUAAUGGUGAAGGCCCUGUAGCUCGGCUAGGAAAUGCGUGUGCAGCACUCGGUGCUGAGCACCAACCUCUGCCAAGGUCUCAAGAGCUUUGCUACAGAGCAGAGAGCAACGUAACAGGGCUGCCUCUUUGACAGCACCAGCCAAACGGGGAGAUGAGAAAGAAAUCAGGCAAUUUUCAUUAGUAUAAAUAUAAGACAUAUGCGUCAGUAUAUUCUUAUACAUAUAAGCACAUAUGGGCUUCCAUUAUCACUUCCUUUCUAAAAAUAGUGUUUAAAACUCACAAUGAUUA